rnacentral:ncRNA from 1 species
UCAGCGAAAGGCAAACCCGCCGUAAGGCGGGGACGCAAAGCCACGGGACCCAGCCGGGUCAGCCGGGCUACCAGAA